GAGAUGGGCAUAAAUUCAUGAAAUGUUAUUGCCUGUUAUUAAAUGUCCUAAAACUGUUUCUGCAAGUCAAGCGCAAAGAUGGUUAUUUUCAGAAUGUGCCCGGUUUACACCGUUGUGCCCUGUCCGCCCUCAGGUUUAGGUCGCUCCAAGGUGCUGCCAUUAGGUUCGCUUGUUUCCUAGCUCGGGAUGCAGCGCCCUGGGCGGGACUAGCGGCUUGGCUGCCCCGGCUUCAUGUCGCCCGCUUGACGCGCACCCUGCUGGUGCAGACAGCUGUGGCCUGUACCGCACAUGGAUUGCGGUGCAGGGCGGGCGCGGGUCGCGGUUCACCCCAGGGUCUCAUUUAAGAGUUAGAGCAGGGCCUGCACUGUAAGGUGGCGGGAGGGAAACAGGAAGGGCCCUGCUUUCGAAACACAGAAGCGUCUAAUGGCAAACACCUUGUUUUAUAACAUCGGCUGUUAAACCAUGUUCAUGCUUCAUGCGUUAUAAAGCUCCGUACUUAAGCAUGCUAACAGCUAAACUAAGCUUCUGUCAAACAGUUUUAACCGUUCAGGUCAGGAUUCGUCAAGCAAACGCAGAGUUGGUCUACAAACUUUAGCAUGUAGUUAGAGGUCAUUAUACUCUGUCCAAGAGGCACCCGGAAAUAUAACCUGAAGGCCUCACGCUUUUAGAAAUGAAACGCUGACACGUUUGAUGAUAGGUUUGGUGGUUGGGCUAUACAUGUUUUUGAAAUAUCUCCCAUCUCUGGACAUACCGCAGCGUCAUGGUGUUGACGCAUUAAGUCGGGUGGUUGGGCCAUGCAUUCUUUUGAAAUAUCGCCCAUCUCUGGACCUACCACUGCGUCAUGGUGUUGAUGCGUCGACACCGUGACGCAGCGCCUCGUUUCUUUCACAGGGAGCCGAGUUACGUGGCUGAGACGUUAAGCGGCGAAGGAUCCGAAAACUCCCAGCGGGACUCCUCGCCCCCUGACAGGACCCAGCGAUGACACUGACAGCGUUACGGCCCGCCGGAGCCGAGUUACGUGGCUGAGACGUUAAGCGGCGAAGGAUCCGAAAACUCCCAGCGGGACUCCUCGCCCCCUGACAGGACCCAGCGAUGACACUGACAGCGUUACGGCCCGCCGUGAGUAGUAGUUCCACUUUUCAUGCAUCGGCGUACAAGAGAUGGGCAUAAAUUCAUGGAAAUGUUAUUGCCUGUUAUUAAAUGUCCUAAAACUGUUUCUGCAAGUCAAGCGCAAAGAUGGUUAUUUUCAGAAUGUGCCCGGUUUACACCGUUGUGCCCUGUCCGCCCUCAGGUUUAGGUCGCUCCAAGGUGCUGCCAUUAGGUUCGCUUGUUUCCUAGCUCGGGAUGCAGCGCCCUGGGCGGGACUAGCGGCUUGGCUGCCCCGGCUUCAUGCCGCCCGCUUGACGCGCACCCUGCUGGCGCAGACAGCUGUGGCCUGUACCGCACAUGGAUUGCGGUGCAGGGCGGGACGCGGGUCGCGGUUCACCCCAGGGUCUCAUUUAAGAGUUAGAGCAGGGCCUGCACUGUAAGGUGGCGGGAGGGAAACAGGAAGGGCCCUGCUUUCGAAACACAGAAGCGUCUAAUGGCAAACACCUUGUUUUAUAACAUCGGCGUUAAACCAUGUUCAUGCUUCAAGCGUUAAAAAGCUCCGUACUUAAGCAUGCUAACAGCUAAACUAAGCUUCUGUCAAACAGUUUUAACCGUUCAGGUCAGGAUUCGUCAAGCAAACGCAGAGUUGGUCUACAAACUUUAGCAUGUAGUUAGAGGUCAUUAUACUCUGUCCAAGAGGCACCCGGAAAUAUAACCUGAAGGCCUCACGCUUUUAGAAAUGAAACGCUGACACGUUUGAUGAUAGAUUUGGUGGUUGGGCUAUACAUGUUUUUGAAAUAUCUCCCAUCUCUGGACAUACCGCAGCGUCAUGGUGUUGACCCAUUAAGUCGGGUGGUUGGGCCAUGCAUUCUUUUGAAAUAUCGCCCAUCUCUGGACCUACCACUGCGUCAUGGUGUUGAUGCGUCGACACCGUGACGCAGCGCCUCGUUUCUUUCACAGGGAGCCGAGUUACGUGGCUGAGACGUUAAGCGGCGAAGGAUCCGAAAACUCCCAGCGGGACUCCUCGCCCCCUGACAGGACCCAGCGAUGACACUGACAGCGUUACGGCCCGCCGGAGCCGAGUUACGUGGCUGAGACGUUAAGCGGCGAAGGAUCCGAAAACUCCCAGCGGGACUCCUCGCCCCCUGACAGGACCCAGCGAUGACACUGACAGCGUUACGGCCCGCCGUGAGUAGUAGUUCCACUUUUCAUGCAUCGGCGUACAAGAGAUGGGCAUAAAUUCAUGGAAAUGUUAUUGCCUGUUAUUAAAUGUCCUAAAACUGUUUCUGCAAGUCAAGCGCAAAGAUGGUUAUUUUCAGAAUGUGCCCGGUUUACACCGUUGUGCCCUGUCCGCCCUCAGGUUUAGGUCGCUCCAAGGUGCUGCCAUUAGGUUCGCUUGUUUCCUAGCUCGGGAUGCAGCGCCCUGGGCGGGACUAGCGGCUUGGCUGCCCCGGCUUCAUGCCGCCCGCUUGACGCGCACCCUGCUGGCGCAGACAGCUGUGGCCUGUACCGCACAUGGAUUGCGGUGCAGGGCGGGCGCGGGUCGCGGUUCACCCCAAGGUCUCAUUUAAGAGUUAGAGCAGGGCCUGCACUGUAAGGUGGCGGGAGGGAAACAGGAAGGGCCCUGCUUUCGAAACACAGAAGCGUCUAAUGGCAAACACCUUGUUUUAUAACAUCGGCGUUAAACCAUGUUCAUGCUUCAUGCGUUAAAAAGCUCCGUACUUAAGCAUGCUAACAGCUAAACUAAGCUUCUGUCAAACAGUUUUAACCGUUCAGGUCAGGAUUCGUCAAGCAAACGCAGAGUUGGUCUACAAACUUUAGCAUGUAGUUAGAGGUCAUUAUACUCUGUCCAAGAGGCACCCGGAAAUAUAACCUGAAGGCCUCACGCUUUUAGAAAUGAAACGCUGACACGUUUGAUGAUAGGUUUGGUGGUUGGGCUAUACAUGUUUUUGAAAUAUCUCCCAUCUCUGGACAUACCGCAGCGUCAUGGUGUUGAAGCAUUAAGUCGGGUGGUUGGGCCAUGCAUUCUUUUGAAAUAUCGCCCAUCUCUGGACCUACC